UACGAAGGGGCUAGCGUUGCUCGGAAUCACUGGGCGUAAAGGGUGCGUAGGCGGGUUUUAAGUCAGAGGUGAAAUCCUGGAGCUCAACUCCAGAACUGCCUUUGAUACUGAGAAUCUUGAGUUCGGGAGAGGUGAGUGGAACUGCGAGUGUAGAGGUGAAAUUCGUAGAUAUUCGCAAGAACACCAGUGGCGAAGGCGGCUCACUGGCCCGGUACUGACGCUGAGGCACGAAAGCGUGGGGAGCAAACAGG
rnacentral:rRNA from 1 species